rnacentral:rRNA from 1 species
UACGAAGGGGGCUAGCGUUGCUCGGAAUCACUGGGCGUAAAGCGCACGUAGGCGGAUUGCUAAGUCAGGGGUGAAAUCCUGGAGCUCAACUCCAGAACUGCCUUUGAUACUGGCGGUCUCGAGUCCGGGAGAGGUGAGUGGAACUGCGAGUGUAGAGGUGAAAUUCGUAGAUAUUCGCAAGAACACCAGUGGCGAAGGCGGCUCACUGGCCCGGUACUGACGCUGAGGUGCGAAAGCGUGGGGGAGCAAACAGG